rnacentral:lncRNA from 1 species
AGGUAAAUAUUCCUCACGCCAGCAGGUGAGGAGGCUGGGGCCAGAUGACUGCUAGUGAGGGAGCAGAGACAAGACAGGCGAGCCUGUGACAGAGCGAGACCCUGUCUCAAAAAACAAAAACAAGACAUGUGAGCUUGGACUCCAGUGUGGAAUCCCAUGUCCGCUCAGUGCACCUUUCUCCCGCUGAAAGUACAAGAGGAGAGGGGAAACCCACAGGUGGAGCUGACCAUGAGGACUGUCACAGGUGAGGGUGAGAGGAAGCUGGAGAUGGAAGAUGCAGCUGGGGGAACUCACCAGGCAGGUCUCAGGGAACUCUUUGAAUAAGAGGACACCAGAUCAUGCCUGCAGUUCCAGACCAGGGUGAGGUUGAAACACUUAUGCUUCCUAUUUAAAGCCACAUCUCAUUCAUCAUUUCAGCACCAAUCAGCAAUUAAACCUGAUUCAAUGGAGCCCUGACAGCUAAUUUAAACCGAGCCUCACAAUCGGCCUGACACUGGCUAUUUAAGACUCUGUCCUGGCCUCUGGGGCCUUUCGGAACCAGGACUGUUUGUCCUGCCAAGAGCAAAGCCCCACCCGCUGUGGCCUGGAUCCCCAUGUAUGUAGUGUGCAGGGUCUGUUCCAGCCAUCACUGUCUCUGCCCGGCUCCCUAUAGGGCUGUGGGAGGGUUCUGGGAGAGGUUGGGAAUGCCAGGAGGAGGAAUUGGUGAAGCGAAGAAAAGGCAAAAGCCCACUGAGAGGUCUAAUGAGCCCCAGGUGCACACACUUGUGUUGUGUGUGGCUUUCUUCAGGCCCUGGGCAAAUGUGGCAGCCUGGGGUGUAUUGGGAGCAUCAGAACCCAGGUCAAGUCCUGACUCUGCAAUCCAUAAACCAGUUCCGUGACCUUGCCCAGGUCCUUCCUUAGUUUCCUCACCAGUGUGGUGAGAAUAACAAAGAUCUCUUCUCAAACCGUCUCCCUGGGAGUUAAGAGAUUCCCCCAUAUCCGGUGAUCCCAGGUAAAGCACAUGGAAAACCACCAAGUCCUAAAGCAUAGAAGUUCUGAGCAGAGCAGGCCUGAGCUUGUAUGGGGCCUGGUGCUGUGGGGCACCAUGGCAGAUUCCAGCCUGUGGUCAUUAUUGGGUUGCCUGGUGUCCCUAUGGCUCUCUAGCACUGAUGGAAAACAGCCUUAUAUCACUACGUGUGGACAAUAACCCCUCCAGGCUGAGAACUUGGUUUUCAGACUUGUGUAGUCAGAGACCUCUUCCUGGAGGCAGUGUACUUGAGCCAAGCUUUGGAGGCUGCAAUAAUUGAGUAAGUCGGCCAGGCUCACACCUAUAAUCCUAGCACUUUGGGAGGCCGAGGCAAGUGGAUCACCUGAGGUCAGGAGUUCGAGACUAGCCUGGCCAACAUGGUGAAACCCCAUCUUUACUAAAAAUAAAAAUAAAAAAAAUUAGCUGGGCAUGGUGGUGGGGGCCUAUAAGCCCAGCUACUCGGGAGACUUAGGCAGGAGAAUCGCUUGAACCCAGGGGGUGGAAGUUGCAGUGAGCCGAGAUCGUGCCACUUCACUCCAGCCUAGGUAAAAGAGCAAAACUCCAUCCAAAAAAAAAAAAAAAA